rnacentral:rRNA from 1 species
UACGAAGGGGGCUAGCGUUGUUCGGAUUCACUGGGCGUAAAGCGCACGUAGGCGGAUCGAUCAGUCAGGGGUGAAAUCCCAGAGCUCAACUCUGGAACUGCCUUUGAUACUGUCGAUCUGGAGUAUGGAAGAGGUGAGUGGAAUUCCGAGUGUAGAGGUGAAAUUCGUAGAUAUUCGGAGGAACACCAGUGGCGAAGGCGGCUCACUGGUCCAUUACUGACGCUGAGGUGCGAAAGCGUGGGGAGCAAACAGG